UACGUAGGGUGCGAGCGUUAAUCGGAAUUACUGGGCGUAAAGCGUGCGCAGGCGGUUUUGCAAGCCGGAUGUGAAAUCCCCGGGCUCAACCUGGGAAUGGCAUUCGGGACUGCAAGGCUGGAGUGCGGCAGAGGAGACUGGAAUUCCUGGUGUAGCAGUGAAAUGCGUAGAUAUCAGGAGGAAUACCGAUGGCGAAGGCAGUUCUCUGGGCCGUAACUGACGCUGAGGAGCGAAAGCGUGGGGAGCGAACAGG
rnacentral:rRNA from 1 species